rnacentral:misc_RNA from 1 species
GAUGAAGAACGUAGCGAAAUGCGAUAAGUAGUGUGAAUUGCAGAAUUCAGUGAAUCAUCGAAUCUUUGAACGCACAUUGCGCCCGCUGGUAUUCCCGCGGGCAUGCCUGUUCGAGCGUCAUUUCAACCCUCAAGCCCCCGGGUUUGGUGUUGGGGAUCGGCUCUGCCCUUCUGGGCGGUGCCGCCCCCGAAAUACAUUGGCGGUCUCGCUGCAGCCUCCAUUGCGUAGUAGCUAACACCUCGCAACUGGAACGCGGCGCGGCCAUGCCGUAAAACCCCAACUUCUGAAUGUUGACCUCGGAUCAGGUAGGAAUACCCGCUGAACUUAAGCAUAUCAAUAAGCGGAGGA